rnacentral:rRNA from 1 species
CAAGUCGAACGCGAAAGUGGAGCAAUCCAUGAGUAGAGUGGCAAACGGGUGAGUAACACGUGGGUGACCUGCCUUCGAGUGGGGGAUAACGUCCCGAAAGGGACGCUAAUACCGCAUAACAUACUGUCAUUUAAGAGACGGACAUCAAAGCCGGGGACCGCAAGGCCUGGCGCUUGAAGAGGGGCCCGCGCCUGAUUAGCUAGUUGGUGGGGUAAUGGCUCACCAAGGCAACGAUCAGUAUCCGGCCUGAGAGGGCGGACGGACACACUGGGACUGAGACACGGCCCAGACUCCUACGGGAGGCAGCAGUGGGGAAUUGUUCGCAAUGGGCGCAAGCCUGACGACGCAACGCCGCGUGGAGGAUGAAGAUCUUCGGGUCGUAAACUCCUUUCGAUCGAGACGAAUGGCCUCCGGGCUAACAUCCUGGAGGAGUGACGGUACCGAGAGAAGAAGCCCCGGCUAACUCCGUGCCAGCAGCCGCGGUAAUACGGGGGGGGCAAGCGUUGUUCGGAAUUACUGGGCGUAAAGGGCUCGUAGGCGGCCAACUAAGUCAUACGUGAAAUCCCUCGGCUUAACCGGGGAACUGCGUCUGAUACUGGAUGGCUUGAGUUCGGGAGAGGGAUGCGGAAUUCCAGGUGUAGCGGUGAAAUGCGUAGAUAUCUGGAGGAACACCGGUGGCGAAGGCGGCAUCCUGGACCGAUACUGACGCUGAGGAGCGAAAGCCAGGGGAGCAAACGGGAUUAGAUACCCCGGUAGUCCUGGCCCUAAACGAUGAAUGCUUGGUGUGGCGGGUAUCGAUCCCUGCCGUGCCGAAGCUAACGCAUUUAAGCAUUCCGCCUGGGGAGUAC